rnacentral:rRNA from 1 species
AGUGAACGCUGGCGGUAGGCCUAACACAUGCAAGUCGAACGGCAGCACAGUAAGAGCUUGCUCUUACGGGUGGCGCGUGGCGGACGGGUGAGGAAUACAUCGGAAUCUACUUUUUCGUGGGGGAUAACGUAGGGAAACUUACGCUAAUACCGCAUACGGCCUACGGGUGAAAGCAGGGGAUCUUCGGACCUUGCGCGAUUGAAUGAGCCGAUGUCGGAUUAGCUAGUUGGCGGGGUAAAGGCCCACCAAGGCGACGAUCCGUAGCUGGUCUGAGAGGAUGAUCAGCCACACUGGAACUGAGACACGGUCCAGACUCCUACGGGAGGCAGCAGUGGGGAAUAUUGGACAAUGGGCGCAAGCCUGAUCCAGCCAUACCGCGUGGGUGAAGAAGGCCUUCGGGUUGUAAAGCCCUUUUGUUGGGAAAGAAAAGCAGCAGGUUAAUACCCCGCUGUUCUGACGGUACCCAAAGAAUAAGCACCGGCUAACUUCGUG